rnacentral:rRNA from 1 species
UUUGAUCCUGGCUCAGGAUGAACGCUAGCUACAGGCUUAACACAUGCAAGUCGAGGGGCAGCAUGGUCUUAGCUUGCUAAGACUGAUGGCGACCGGCGCACGGGUGAGUAACACGUAUCCAACCUGCCGUCUACUCUUGGACAGCCUUCUGAAAGGAAGAUUAAUACAAGAUGGCAUCAUGAGUCCGCAUGUUCACAUGAUUAAAGGUAUUCCGGUAGACGAUGGGGAUGCGUUCCAUUAGAUAGUAGGCGGGGUAACGGCCCACCUAGUCUUCGAUGGAUAGGGGUUCUGAGAGGAAGGUCCCCCACAUUGGAACUGAGACACGGUCCAAACUCCUACGGGAGGCAGCAGUGAGGAAUAUUGGUCAAUGGGCGAGAGCCUGAACCAGCCAAGUAGCGUGAAGGAUGACUGCCCUAUGGGUUGUAAACUUCUUUUAUAAAGGAAUAAAGUCGGGUAUGCAUACCCGUUUGCAUGUACUUUAUGAAUAAGGAUCGGCUAACUCCGUGCCAGCAGCCGCGGUAAUACGGAGGAUCCGAGCGUUAUCCGGAUUUAUUGGGUUUAAAGGGAGCGUAGAUGGAUGUUUAAGUCAGUUGUGAAAGUUUGCGGCUCAACCGUAAAAUUGCAGUUGAUACUGGAUAUCUUGAGUGCAGUUGAGGCAGGCGGAAUUCGUGGUGUAGCGGUGAAAUGCUUAGAUAUCACGAAGAACUCCGAUUGCGAAGGCAGCCUGCUAAGCUGCAACUGACAUUGAGGCUCGAAAGUGUGGGUAUCAAACAGGAUUAGAUACCCUGGUAGUCCACACGGUAAACGAUGAAUACUCGCUGUUUGCGAUAUACUGCAAGCGGCCAAGCGAAAGCGUUAAGUAUUCCACCUGGGGAGUACGCCGGCAACGGUGAAACUCAAAGGAAUUGACGGGGGCCCGCACAAGCGGAGGAACAUGUGGUUUAAUUCGAUGAUACGCGAGGAACCUUACCCGGGCUUAAAUUGCAGAUGAAUUACGGUGAAAGCCGUAAGCCGCAAGGCAUCUGUGAAGGUGCUGCGUGGUUGUCGUCAGCUCGUGCCGUGAGGUGUCGGCUUAAGUGCCAUAACGAGCGCAACCCUUGUUGUCAGUUACUAACAGGUUCCGCUGAGGACUCUGACAAGACUGCCAUCGUAAGAUGUGAGGAAGGUGGGGAUGACGUCAAAUCAGCACGGCCCUUACGUCCGGGGCUACACACGUGUUACAAUGGGGGGUACAGAGGGCCGCUACCACGCGAGUGGAUGCCAAUCCCCAAAACCUCUCUCAGUUCGGACUGGAGUCUGCAACCCGACUCCACGAAGCUGGAUUCGCUAGUAAUCGCGCAUCAGCCACGGCGCGGUGAAUACGUUCCCGGGCCUUGUACACACCGCCCGUCAAGCCAUGGGAGCCGGGGGUACCUGAAGUGCGUAACCGCGAGGAGUGCCCUAGGGUAAAACUGGUGACUGGGGCUAAGUCGUAACAAGGUAACC